UACGGAGGGGGCUAGCGUUGUUCGGAAUUACUGGGCGUAAAGCGUGCGCAGGCGGUUGGGCAAGACAGAUGUGAAAUCCCCGGGCUUAACCUGGGAAUUGCAUUUGUGACUGCACGGCUAGAGUGUGUCAGAGGGGGGUAGAAUUCCACGUGUAGCAGUGAAAUGCGUAGAUAUGUGGAGGAAUACCGAUGGCGAAGGCAGCCCCCUGGGAUAACACUGACGCUCAUGCACGAAAGCGUGGGGAGCAAACAGG
rnacentral:rRNA from 1 species